UGCGAAGGGGGCUAGCGUUGCUCGGAAUCACUGGGCGUAAAGCGCGCGUAGGCGGCUUUCUAAGUCAGGGGUGAAAUCCUGGAGCUCAACUCCAGAACUGCCUUUGAUACUGGAGAGCUUGAGUCCGGAAGAGGUGAGUGGAACUCCGAGUGUAGAGGUGAAAUUCGUAGAUAUUCGGAAGAACACCAGUGGCGAAGGCGGCUCACUGGUCCGGUACUGACGCUGAGGUGCGAAAGCGUGGGGAGCAAACAGG
rnacentral:rRNA from 1 species